rnacentral:rRNA from 1 species
GACGAACGCUGGCGGCGUGCUUAACACAUGCAAGUCGAACGGAGUGGCGAACGGGUGAGUAACACGAGGGUGAUCUGCCUUGCACUUCGGGAUAAGCUUGGGAAACUGGGACAAAUACCGGAUAGUGAUAAAUGAGCUCGCGGCCUAUCAGCGUGUUGGUGGGGUAAUGGCCUACCAAGGCGUCGACGGGUAGCCUGCCUGAGAGGGUGUCCGGCCACAUUGGACCUGAUAUGCAGCCCCGACUCCUACGGGAGGCAGCAGUGGGGAAUAUUGCACAAUGGGCGGAAGCCUGAUGCAGCGACGCCGCGUGGGGGAUGACGGCCUUCGGGUUGUAAACUCCUUUCGACAGGGACGCGGUACCUGUAUAAGAAGCACCGGCUAACUACGUGCCAGCAGCCGCGGUAAUUC